UCCGUAGGCGGGCAGCUCAGUCAGUGGUGAAAGUUUGCAGCUCAACUGUAAAAUUGCCAUUGAUACUGGUUGUCUUGAAUUAAUGUGAAGUGGUUAGGAUAUGUAGUGUAGCGGUGAAAUGCAUAGAUAUUACAUAGAAUACCAAUUGCGAAGGCAGAUCACUAACAUUAUAUUGACGCUGAUGGACGAAAGCGUGGGGAGCGAACAGGAUUAGAUACCCUGGUAGUC
rnacentral:rRNA from 1 species